rnacentral:rRNA from 1 species
UACGUAGGGUGCAAGCGUUGUCCGGAAUUAUUGGGCGUAAAGAGCUCGUAGGCGGUCUGUCACGUCGGCUGUGAAAACCCGGGGCUCAACCCCGGGCCUGCAGUCGAUACGGGCAGACUAGAGUGCGGUAGGGGAGACUGGAAUUCCUGGUGUAGCGGUGAAAUGCGCAGAUAUCAGGAGGAACACCGGUGGCGAAGGCGGGUCUCUGGGCCGUAACUGACGCUGAGGAGCGAAAGCUAGGGGAGCAAACAGG